rnacentral:rRNA from 1 species
UACGAAGGGGGCUAGCGUUGCUCGGAAUCACUGGGCGUAAAGGGUGCGUAGGCGGAUCUUUAAGUCAGGGGUGAAAUCCUGGAGCUCAACUCCAGAACUGCCUCUGAUACUGGGGAUCUUGAGUCCGGAAGAGGUAAGUGGAACUGCGAGUGUAGAGGUGAAAUUCGUAGAUAUUCGCAAGAACACCAGUGGCGAAGGCGGCUUACUGGUCCGGUACUGACGCUGAGGUGCGAAAGCGUGGGGAGCAAACAGG